GCACACAGCCCCCAAGCCAGAGCCUCAGUGGGGCCACAUUCCCACACCACCUGUCUCACAUCCAGCAUCAGCCACAGCAUGUCCAGACCUACUGCCUCCAGCACAAAGAGCACCCCAGCCUCCUCAUGCUCCUCCUUCCCCAGGGCCUUGCCUGCGACCCAUCCCGAGGCACUGGAACGACAAAGACCCCUACCACCUGCAAGUGGAAGGAAAAGCAAAAACAAGAUACCCCUUUGUAUCCCUACUUCACUCGGAGUCCUUACAAUGGCCUAUAAGAUACUCCAUGAUCUGCUCCACUACCCAUUUAACACCCACUUCAGCCACUCUCCCUCUUGCUCUCUCUGCUGCAGCCACACUGACACCCCUGCUGCUCCUCAAACACAGCAGGCUCACUGGGCCUGCAGGCCUCAGGGCCUUUGCACUGGUGGCUGCCUCUGCCUGGAACACUCCUCCCCCAGUUGGCUGUGUAGCUUACUCCUUUUGCCUCCAUUAAGUCUUUGCUUAAAUGUCACCUUCUCAGUCCAACUCACUAGUCACGUUGUUCAUCCGAUUUAAAAUUGCAAUUAUCACCAUCACCACCCCUAGCCCAUACUCCCAAUCCCUCUCACCCUGGUCUAAUUUUUUCCUAGCAUGUUUUGUCUAUUAACAUACCAUAUAUUUAUUAUUCCUUGACUGUCUCUUCCAGUUAGAAUUCAUAAGCUCCAUGAGGGCAGGGAUCUUUGUUUUGUUCACUGAUCCUAAACCCCUAGCACAGAGCAGGGACUCUACAAAUGCUUGAUGAAUUAAAGGAAAUAAUUAAUUCGCAUAAAUUACUAAAAGUACUUAAACAGUAUCAGGUGCAGAGCAAGCAUUCAGUAACUAAGCCAGGCAUAGAACCACAGAUUCUGUGGGUCAGAAGGAACCCUGGAGGCCAUCAGUCCACGCUCCCACCUAAGGCAGGAGUCACCCCUACAGCUUCCUUCAGAGUAGUCACUGAGCCUGUGCCUGAAUGCCUCCAGGGGCAGCGAACUCAUUACUUCUCAAGGCAGCUCAUUCCAUCUUGGAAGAGCUGUAGUGUUCUUCCUUCCUUGAAUGCUACUUUGUCAUUCAGCUUCUCUGAGUUUUCCCAUCUUUAGAGAAUUAGAAUGGAAAGUCCCUCCCAACUCUACCUGCUUUUGACUCUUAUUGAGGGCACUGCUUUGUGAGAUUAAAUUGUGCAGACUGCUCCCUCCUUUUCUCCCCUCACUUCUCAGCAGGAGGCUCUUCUGCCUAGAACAGAGCUCAGAGAUGCCACUUCCAGGAACCCUUUUCUGGCCCAAGCCACCCUUAUGUUGCUCAAGCCGCUGGUUUAAGCUUUGGUCCACUGUGAAGGGGCAUGCGCACACACAGCUCAUGACUGGAAAUGCCUUCUGUCUAAUUUCAAUCUCACUCACUAUAAUUUUCAGUCCAGUUCCUUUCAAAGCUGCUGCAUACCAUGGCAAAAAUACAAAGCCCUUAAGCUCUGCCCUUUCCUAGCUGAGAGGCACCCAGCAAAUGUGAGAUGGGGUCACACCUCUCUUGCAGGUGACAAUAAAUACAAGGGCUUAGCCAGCCCUUGGGAACAUUACAGGCACUCAGUAGUGGCAGCACUAUUAGGGUGACAUUUAUGACUAUCAUGCAUGCUUGUCCUACCAAAACAGGAGCUCUUCUAGAAGACCUGCUCAAUAGAGCACCAUGUCCCAAGGAAAAGAGCUCUGAGUAGGGUGUCAAGAGACAAGGAUUUGAGCCCCAUUCUGUAAUCACCUGGCUGGGUGACCUGAUGGAAAUCAACCUCUAUUGAACUUGUUUUCCUUAUCUGUAAAAUAAGGUUUUAAAAUAUCCCUUUCUUGUCAUAAAAAUCAUGAUUUAAAAGAAAUUUUAAAGACGUAAGAACAUGCUUGUGAAAUGUUACGUGGAAUAAAAGCAGGUAGACACAUA